GCCGCCAUCGUCUAGCUUGGUUAGGACUCCACGCUUUCAAUGUGGCAACAGGGGUUCGAAUCCCCUUGGCGGUACCA
rnacentral:tRNA from 1 species